rnacentral:rRNA from 1 species
AGUAGGGGUUCUGAGAGGAAGGUCCCCCACAUUGGAACUGAGACACGGUCCAAACUCCUACGGGAGGCAGCAGUGAGGAAUAUUGGUCAAUGGGCGAGAGCCUGAACCAGCCAAGUAGCGUGCAGGAUGACGGCCCUAUGGGUUGUAAACUGCUUUUAUGCGGGGAUAAAGUGNGNGACGUGUCNUGCAUUGCAGGUACCGCAUGAAUAAGGACCGGCUAAUUCCGUGCCAGCAGCCGCGGUAAUACGGAAGGUCCGGGCGUUAUCCGGAUUUAUUGGGUUUAAAGGGAGCGUAGGCCGCCAGAUAAGCGUGUUGUGAAAUGUACCGGCUCAACCGGUGAAUUGCAGCGCGAACUGUUUGGCUUGAGUGCACGGUAAGCAGGCGGAAUUCAUGGUGUAGCGGUGAAAUGCUUAGAUAUCAUGAAGAACUCCGAUUGCGAAGGCAGCUUGCUGCAGUGCGACUGACGCUGAUGCUCGAAGGUGCGGGUAUCAAACAGGAUUAGAUACCCUGGUAGUCCGCACGGUAAACGAUGGAUGCCCGCUGUCCGCCUAUUGUGGCGGGUGGCCAAGCGAAAGCGUUAAGCAUCCCACCUGGGGAGUACGCCGGCAACGGUGAAACUCAAAGGAAUUGACGGGGGCCCGCACAAGCGGAGGAACAUGUGGUUUAAUUCGAUGAUACGCGAGGAACCUUACCCGGGCUUGAACUGCCAGUGAACGAUACAGAGAUGUUGAGGCCCUUCGGGGCGCNGGUGGAGGUGCUGCAUGGUUGUCGUCAGCUCGUGCCGUGAGGUGUCGGCUUAAGUGCCAUAACGAGCGCAACCCCUUUUUUCAGUUGCCAUCAGGUAAUGCUGGGCACUCUGGAGAUACUGCCACCGCAAGGUGUGAGGAAGGUGGGGAUGACGUCAAAUCAGCACGGCCCUUACGUCCGGGGCUACACACGUGUUACAAUGGGGCAUACAGAGUGUUGGCUUAACGCAAGUUUGGUCUAAUCUUCAAAGUGNCUCCCAGUUCGGACUGGGGUCUGCAACCCGACCCCACGAAGCUGGAUUCGCUAGUAAUCGCGCAUCAGCCAUGGCGCGGUGAAUACGUUCCCGGGCCUUGUACACACCGCCCGUCAAGCCAUGAAAGCCGGGGGUGCCUGAAGUCCGUAACCGUCNAGGAGCGGCCUAGGGCAAAACUGGUGA